rnacentral:rRNA from 1 species
UACGUAGGUGGCAAGCGUUGUCCGGAAUUACUGGGCGUAAAGGGCGUGUAGGCGGCUUUUUAAGUCAGACGUGAAAUCCCUGGGCUUAACCCAGGAACUGCGUUUGAAACUGGAGAGCUUGAGGACCGGAGAGGGCAGUGGAAUUCCCAGUGUAGCGGUGAAAUGCGUAGAUAUUGGGAGGAACACCAGUGGCGAAGGCGACUGCCUGGACGGCACCUGACGCUGAGGCGCGAAAGCUAGGGGAGCAAACAGG